UAGCAGAGUGGAGAGGCGUUGUGUCGUAGUGGCCACCAGAGGGAGCUGUGUGUGCCGGCUCGUUAGAGAAUGGGAUGAAAACCGUUAGACCUAUACAAGCAGCUUUGUCCUGCUCGCUGCGGUGUGCUAACGUGCCUAACGGUUUUCUACUGUCCUAAAACAGAAGAUUUCCGUGAUGAACUGUGGAGCUUGUUCAAGCUAUGUGAGGAACUGUGGGGCUGGGUAUGUCUUAACAUAUUCGCCAGUUAGGGUGAAUGGCCCGUUGCCAUCUGCGAUUUUGAGUUGUAAGCAGACUAUGCGAGUAUUUUGAGAUGUUACACUAGGUUGAUCAUAUUGUAAGAAGUCUGUGUGAUUUUAUUUCUUUUUUUAUAGAAGUGUGCCUGCUUCAGUUGUUUAUGCACUCA